CCAUCAUGUCCAUCCUGUCCAUGCUGUCCUCCACCUCCUGCAGUAAAAAGUCUGACAUGUCUGAAGUGUGAAGAAGGCUGGGAGCCACAUGGAGGAAACUGUUAUUAUUUUAACACCAUGAGAUCCUCCUGGACUGAGAGCCGAGAUUCCUGCAUUGAUCUGGGAUCAGACCUGGUGAAGAUCGACAGCAGAGAGGAGCAGAUGUUCCUGGAGAGCAGACUGAGAGGCUUGAUGAAGAAAGAUGAGGACAAGUUCUGGAUGGGACUGACGGACUCGGUGGAAGAAGGAAAAUGGUUCUGGGUGGACGGAUCUGCUCUGGAUGAAAGGUUUGA